GGUUCNUUCAAGUUAGGCUGGGCCCCCAGAACCAGGUUGCCCCGCAACGAGGCGCAACCNUUCGCCCUUAGUUGCCAGCAUUUUAGUUGGGCACUUUUAAGGGGACUGCCGGUGAUAAGCCGAGAGGAAGGUGGGGAUGACGUCAAGUCCUCAUGGCCCUUACGGGCUGGGCUACACACGUGCUACAAUGGUGGUGACAGUGGGCAGCGAGACAGCGAUGUCGAGCUAAUCUCCAAAAGCCAUCUCAGUUCGGAUUGCACUCUGCAACUCGAGUGCAUGAAGUUGGAAUCGCUAGUAAUCGCAGAUCAGCAUGCUGCGGUGAAUACGUUCCCGGGCCUUGUACACACCGCCCGUCACACCAUGGGAGUUGGUUUUACCCGAAGGUAGUGCGCUAACCGCAAGGAGGCUAGAGUUUGAUCNAAGCUCAGCUUGGC
rnacentral:rRNA from 1 species